GUGGGGAAUAUUGCACAAUGGGGGAAACCCUGAUGCAGCAACGCCGCGUGAGUGAUGACGGCCUUCGGGUUGUAAAGCUCUGUCUUCAGGGACGAUAAUGACGGUACCUGAGGAGGAAGCCACGGCUAACUACGUGCCAGCAGCCGCGGUAAUACGUAGGUGGCGAGCGUUGUCCGGAUUUACUGGGCGUAAAGGGAGCGUAGGCGGACUUUUAAGUGAGAUGUGAAAUACCCGGGCUCAACUUGGGUGCUGCAUUUCAAACUGGAAGUCUAGAGUGCAGGAGAGGAGAAUGGAAUUCCUAGUGUAGCGGUGAAAUGCGUAGAGAUUAGGAAGAACACCAGUGGCGAAGGCGAUUCUCUGGACUGUAACUGACGCUGAGGCUCGAAAGCGUGGGGAGCAA
rnacentral:rRNA from 1 species